GAUGAAGAACGUAGCGAAAUGCGAUAAGUAAUGUGAAUUGCAGAAUUCAGUGAAUCAUCGAAUCUUUGAACGCACAUUGCGCCCGGCAGUACUCUGCCGGGCAUGCCUGUUCGAGCGUCAUUUCAACCCUCAAGCCCUGCUUGGUGUUGGGGUCCCACGGCCGCCGUGGGCCCUGAAAGGAAGUGGCGGGCUCGCUACAACUCCGAGCGUAGUAAUUCAUUAUCUCGCUUAGGGGGUUGGGCGGCGCUCCUGCCGUUAAAGAACCAUCUUUAACUCAAGGUUGACCUCGGAUCAGGUAGGAAUACCCGCUGAACUUAAGCAUAUCAAUAAGCGGAGGA
rnacentral:misc_RNA from 1 species